AAAGAACAUCAGCGACAUCGGUGGACCUUAAAUCGCACGAUCCGAAAGCUGCCGCUGGUUUGUUGAUAUGAAAAUCACACAUCACAGCCUCCACCCGACCCCCCACCGUGAAAAUAUCUGUUCAUCUCCAAUGUGUCCUCCACGCCGCGAGAUGCUCGGAUGGAGGCCGCCGACCAAACGGGCUUUUAUCAGGAGAACUUGGUUCUUGUGCAGGGACCCGGCUGUGAUGCAGGGUCUACGUUCUUCUUUCGUCUCUCAAACACGGAUCCUGCUCAUUGCACAGUGCCAAGCAGCCCGUCCAAAACAUUUACAGUUCUGGAGAGGAAGAGAGACAGCGACAGGAGAACCACCAAAGACCAUGGGAGACCAAACAAGUUAGAGGACAAGGGGAGGCAGCUGAGCGGGCUAAACAUUCAUGGGAGACUGAAAGAGAACGGA
ensembl:lncRNA